AAGUUUAAUUUAAAUUAAAAUAAGUGGUGUCCCAAGUCAAAGGGAUUUUGUUGUACUAAGGACUCAAUGACCUCUUUUCAUGACAAGCAGCCAACGAGUUCUUCUCACGGCGUAACCAAGACGAGCCAAAGAAUAAACGCCCGUUUUAAGGAACCGACCUGUGUCUGUGAUUGUUGUGAAGAGAGCUACAGCACCCCUGGUACAGCUGAAAGGAGAGUUCAAGGUUUCAUUCUUCAUUCAAGAGCUUGAUCCUCGUGGUCACUUUUCCAUCUUGUUCCAUCUCAAGGGUACUAAACGAAGUCCUCCUGGGGCCCUCAGGAAGGGCCAAGACCACAACGGUGCUCAACAGGAAAGAUGAAUGUUUGUAACCCACGUCACAUCUUGAAGACAUAGGAAGGUGAGAUGGAUUAAACUCUUCUCGGAGAGCAUGCAACUGCCACGCUGAGUCAGCAUUUGACCUACUCGCCAUGCAUCGACUUCACCACAGGCUGCUUUAAAACAUGAGUUAAUAGGACAGGACUGUACGUUGGUAACACAAGGCCUUUUGGGAGGUUGUCUCUGCAAGAAGAUGUCUAAUGACUUGGACAUGCAGCUGCUUGAUGAGUCGUUUCUACUCUACUUUGGUUUUUCCUUUGCAGAAGACACAAAGACAGUAGUCCUUUUCAAUUGGCCCUCAGGCCAUCCCAUCGUUU